rnacentral:rRNA from 1 species
GUAGUUGAUCGUGCUCAGAUAACGCUGGCGGCGCACAUAAGACAUGCAAGUCGAACGGACUUAACUCAUUCUUUUAGUUUGAGAGCGGUUAGUGGCGGACUGGUGAGUAACACGUAAGCAACCUGCCUAUUAGAGGGGAAUAACAGUGAGAAAUCAUUGCUAAUACCGCAUAUGCUAACAGUAUCGCAUGAUACAGUUAGGAAAGGAGCAAUCCGCUAAUAGAUGGGCUUGCGUCUGAUUAGUUAGUUGGUGGGGUAACGGCCUACCAAGACUACGAUCAGUAGCCGGACUGAGAGGUUGAACGGCCACAUUGGGACUGAGAUACGGCCCAGACUCCUACGGGAGGCAGCAGUCGGGAAUAUUGCGCAAUGGAGGAAGCUCUGACGCAGUGACGCCGCGUAUAGGAAGAAGGUUUUCGGAUUGUAAACUAUUGUCGUUAGGGAAGAUAAAAGACUGUACCUAAGGAGGAAGCCCCGGCUAACUAUGUG